GAUUGUAUUUGGGUCAUCUGGGGUCAAAAACUAGGUCACUAGGUCAAAAACUAGGUCAAAUAGUAGAAAAACCUUGUGUAGACAGUAGAGGUCACAGUUUUCAUCCAAUCUUUAUGAAAUUUGGUCAGAAUGUUUAUCUUGAUAAAAUCUGGGUUGGGAUUGUAUUUUGGUCAUCUGGGGUCAAAAACUAGGUCACUAGGUCAAAAAAUAGGUCAAAUAAUAGAAAAACCUUGUGUAGAAAAUAGAGGUCGCAGUUUUCAUCCAAUCUUUAUGAAAUUUGGUCAGAAUGUUUAUCUUGAUGAAAUCUAGGUUGGGAUUGUAUUUGGGUCAUCUGAGGUCAAAAACUAGGUCACUAGGUCAAAUAAUAGAAAAACCGUCAACAAUUUGUUUGUGUAGACAGUAGAGGUCACAGUUUUCAUCCAAUCUUUAUAAAAUUUGGUCAGAAUGUUUAUCUUGAUGAAAUCUGGGUUGGGAUUGUAUUUGG